GUUAAACAAGUGCUUGAAGGCAGUAUGCUUGGUAAAAGUCAUCGCCAUUCUCUAAUCUUGAGUACCCAGGGACACGAUACACUGCGGAAGGCUGCAGGGACCUCUGCCCAGGAAAGCCAGGAGCCAGAAAAACUUCAUCUCUUUUACAAGAAACAUUGAGAUUCCUGUAAAAUUAAGAAAUCACACAAUUUGAUGGUCUACAUUAUCUAAAGCAAAUGAGACUUCUAUUUGGAACAAAGACUACCUUGUUGGGAAAUGAGUCUGCAAGUUAAAGUGUUUUCUGGAUCCAGUAUCUGCCGGAGGAGCCCCACCUUCUGCUACUAUUAUGUUCUUCAGAUGAGUAGAAGAGAGUGGGGAGGGAGAGAGCAGGAAGAAGAAAGGAAGAAUAAUGUCUUGAAAUUGUUUUCUAAGGAUAAUGGUCUCCAGCUUCGUCAAUGUUCCUGCAAAGGACAUGAUGCUGACUUUGAAGAUGCAAGCUUCCACAUCUACAGCCUCAAGGAAACAAAUUCAGCCAACCAACUGAGGGAGCUUUCCUUGUCCUGCCUCAAGAUGAGAUCACAGUCUGCCCAACACCAUGAUUUAAGCCUUGUGACACCUGGUAUGGAAGACCCAAGCUCAGAUGGAAAAGAAUGGUGUUACUGAGACCCUUCAAGAUUCCCAGUGUAAUUCAAUAAAGAAAAGGCAACACAAAGGGGUUGUAUAGAAUUCGCCACAUUAUGGACCCAUGUCAUAGAGAGAAUCCACGGUGCAUUUGUUAGCUGCAUUUAAAUUACAACACUUUCAGAUCCAAGAUUUAUUUGGGAUAAAAAUUUACCUGGAUGCAAGGCUAUUCAGAAUGAAGAUUAAUGAUAUGGUUUGGCUGUGUCCCCACCCAAACUUCAUCUUGAAUUCCCACGUGUUGUGAGAGGGACCUGGUGGGAGAUAAUUGAACCAUGGGGGCAGGUCUUUCUCAUGCUGUUCUCAUGAGAGUGAAUAAGUCUCAUGAAACCUGAUGGUUUUAUAAGGGGGAAUUUCCCUGCACAAGCUCUCUCUCUGCCUUUUGCCAUCCAUGUAAGACGUGACUUGGUCCUCCUUGCCUUCUACCAUGAUUAUGAGGCCUCCCCAGCCACGUGGAACUGUGAGUCCAUUAAACCUCUUUCUUUUGUAAA
rnacentral:sRNA from 1 species